rnacentral:misc_RNA from 1 species
UUUCAUUGUUGAAGGAGUUUCAGAAGGAAGAUCUAGAAAGCUUGGUUGUCUCACCGAGACUGUCUUUUUCUUGCAGCAACAGGAUCAGAUACUACCCCUCACACUUUUCUUUCUCCUCCAUUAUCUCCCUUCCUGUAAAAUAUGAUUUUUGAUUUCUGCAGGGAAAUCUUUGUGUUUUCGGAUUUCGGAAUUGCUGACUGGGAAGUUUGUAUUGAAAUAUUGGACCAGAUUGGCAAAAGA